AUUACUCCUACGGGAGGCAGCAGUGGGGAAUUUUGGACAAUGGGGGCAACCCUGAUCCAGCCAUGCCGCGUGAGUGAAGAAGGCCUUCGGGUUGUAAAGCUCUUUCAGACGGAAAGAAAACUUCGAGGCUAAUACCUUCGGAGGAUGACGGUACCGUAAGAAGAAGCGCCGGCUAACUACGUGCCAGCAGCCGCGGUAAUAAU
rnacentral:rRNA from 1 species